rnacentral:tRNA from 1 species
GGAGGGGUGGCAGAGUGGUUGAAUGCACCGGUCUUGAAAACCGGCGUGCCCUUUGGCGGGCACCGUGGGUUCGAAUCCCACCCCCUCCGCCC